CUGGAAACAUCCCGGGCUGAUGCUCACAAGUCCGGGGCCCCGUGCACCCAGGACGCAAUCUUCUCAGAUGUCCUUCACUCUGGCGCCAGGACACCACGGACCCUGGGUGCACCCGCAG